GACGUAGGGCGCGAGCGUUGUCCGGAUUUAUUGGGCGUAAAGAGCUCGUAGGCGGCUUUCUAAGUCAGGGGUGAAAUCCUGGAGCUCAACUCCAGAACUGCCUUUGAUACUGGAGAGCUUGAGUCCGGGAGAGGUGAGUGGAACUCCGAGUGUAGAGGUGAAAUUCGUAGAUAUUCGGAAGAACACCAGUGGCGAAGGCGGCUCACUGGCCCGGUACUGACGCUGAGGCGCGAAAGCGUGGGGAGCAAACGGG
rnacentral:rRNA from 1 species